rnacentral:tRNA from 1 species
UCUUUGAUGGUCUAACGGUCAUGAUUUCCGCUUGUCAUUCGACAAGAUCGCGGGAGAUCGGUUUCGACUCCCCGUCAGAGAG